rnacentral:rRNA from 1 species
CAGCCGCCGCGGUAAUACGGAGGGCGCGAGCGUUACCCGGAUUUACUGGGCGUAAAGGGCGUGUAGGCGGCCUGGGGCGUCCUAUGUGAAAGGCCACGGCUCAACCGUGGAGGAGCGUGGGAUACGCUCAGGCUAGAGGGUGGGAGAGGGUGGUGGAAUUCCCGGAAUAUCGGUGAAAUGCGCAGAUACCGGGAGGAACGCCGAUGGCGAAGGCAGCCACCUGGUCCACUUCUGACGCUGAGGCGCGAAAGCGUGGGGAGCAAACCGGAUUAGAUACCCGCGUAGUCCCUGUCUCUUAUAC